rnacentral:rRNA from 1 species
CAGCCGCCGCGGGAAUACGUAGGGUGCAAGCGUUAAUCGGAAUUACUGGGCGUAAAGCGUGCGCAGGCGGUUUGUUAAGACAGAUGUGAAAUCCCCGGGCUCAACCUGGGAACUGCAUUUGUGACUGGCAAGCUAGAGUAUGGUAGAGGGGGGUGGAAUUCCGCGUGUAGCAGUGAAAUGCGUAGAUAUGCGGAGGAACACCGAUGGCGAAGGCAGCCCCCUGGGCCAAUACUGACGCUCAUGCACGAAAGCGUGGGGAGCAAACAGGAUUAGAUACCCCUGUAGUCCCUGUCUCUUAUAC